rnacentral:lncRNA from 1 species
UGUGAUGGAUGUAUGCAUGAAUGCUUCCAUGUUGGCUGAUUAUAUAAAUACAUCUGUAAAAAUUACAAUAGGAUCUGGGUGCCCCUGAUGCAUUGUAUUAUCAGUAGUAUCUUUCUUUUGUAUGUUCUCAACUAUUGAUUGAAACUUUUACAUAUUGAUAUAAAUUAUAAAAAAAAUUAUUUGAAAAUAGAUAAAAAUUAUUUCUUUCAAUUUUUAGAUAA